AUGAACGCUGGCGGCGUGCCUAAUACAUGCCAGUCGAGCGAACAGACGAGGAGCUUGCUCCUCUGACGUUAGCGGCGGACGGGUGAGUAACACGUGGAUAACCUACCUAUAAGACUGGGAUAACUUCGGGAAACCGGAGCUAAUACCGGAUAAUAUAUUGAACCGCAUGGUUCAAUAGUGAAAGACGGUUUUGCUGUCACUUAUAGAUGGAUCCGCGCCGCAUUAGCUAGUUGGUAAGGUAACGGCUUACCAAGGCAACGAUGCGUAGCCGACCUGAGAGGGUGAUCGGCCACACUGGAACUGAGACACGGUCCAGACUCCUACGGGAGGCAGCAGUAGGGAAUCUUCCGCAAUGGGCGAAAGCCUGACGGAGCAACGCCGCGUGAGUGAUGAAGGUCGUCGGAUCGUAAAACUCUGUUAUUAGGGAAGAACAAAUGUGUAAGUAACUAUGCACGUCUUGACGGUACCUAAUCAGAAAGCCACGGCUAACUACGUG
rnacentral:rRNA from 1 species